AUGUUAAAAAUACACUUAGUGCAGCUAAAACAAAUUAUUUUCUUUCUGCUCCGCCCUCUCAGGGCCCCCAAGGACCACAGGGACGCAAUGGAGAGCCAGGACACAAGGGACCAACAGUAAGCAAUGCACAUAAAUCACACAGCGGGGUUGUUGGGGUGGGGGGGUGGGGGGGGGUGUUUUUUUUAAGAAUGAAUCACUACAAAGUGUUUUUUCGACUCUUAAACUGUGUCUACUCUUUUUUUUUUUUUUUUUUUUUUUUUGGGCCCCCCAGGAAAGGAUGGAUUGCCGGGUCAUCCAGGCCAGCGUGGGGAGCCAGGAUUCCAAGGAAAAACAGGAGCCCCGGGCCCCGCUGGAGUGGUCGGACCACAGGGCAAAACUGGAGAAACUGGACCAACAGGAGACAGAGGCCACCCUGGAUCACCUGGGCCUCCUGGAGAGCAAGGUUUGCCUGGAUCUGCAGGCAAAGAAGGUGGCAAGGGCGAUCCGGGCCCUAUAGGGACCGUGGGGAAGAGCGGCCCGGCCGGGCGCCGCGGAUUCAGAGGAAACCGAGGGAUGCCGGGCGCCAUGGGUGCUGCCGGACUAAAAGGUGAAGAAGGACCUUCUGGAGCUGCGGGAGCAAUCGUAAGUAUCUUUAGGAAUACUGUUAGAAAGACCUGAACCUCAACUUAUUGGCAAAACUUU
rnacentral:lncRNA from 1 species